GCCCUCGUAGAUCAACGGUAGAUCAUCCAGUUUAAUUCUGCCAGCAUAAAUUUAGGCGGAGGCUGUGGGUUCGAUUCCCACCGAGGGUU